AGUCCCCUGGAACGGGGCGCCACAGAGGGUGAGAGCCCCGUAUAGUUGGACGCCUAGCCUGUGUAGAGCUCCUUCGACGAGUCGAGUAGUUUGGGAAUGCUGCUCAAAAUGGGAGGUAAAUUUCUUCUAAAGCUAAAUACCAGCCAGAAACCGAUAGCGCACAAGUAGAGUGAUCGAAAGAUGAAAAGCACUUUGGAAAGAGGGUUAAACAGCACGUGAAAUUGUUGAAAGGGAAGCGCUUGUGACCAGACUCGCGCCGGGCUGAUCAUCCGGUGUUCUCACCGGUGCACUCUGCCCGGCUCGGGCCAGCAUCGGUUCCUGCGGGGGGAUAAAGGCUCCGGGAACGUAGCUCCUCCGGGAGUGUUAUAGCCCGGGGCGCAAUGCCCCCGCGGGGACCGAGGACCGCGCUCUGCAAGGAUGCUGGCGUAAUGGUCACCAGCGACCCGUCUU
rnacentral:rRNA from 1 species